CAGAGGAGGAAAGAGAUAGACAAACCAAGAAACAGACUCUAACCAUAGAGAACAAACUGAUGGUACCAGAGGGGAGGUGGGUGGGGACAGGGUGGUGGUGGGGGAGGGGCUG
rnacentral:lncRNA from 1 species